UACGUAGGUCCCGAGCGUUGUCCGGAUUUAUUGGGCGUAAAGCGAGCGCAGGCGGUUAGAUUAAGUCUGAAGUUUAAAAGGCUGUGGCUUAACCUAGUACGCUUUGGAAACUGUUUAACUUGAGUGCAAGAGGGGAGAGUGGAAUUCCAUGUGUAGCGGUGAAAAUGCGUAGAUAUAAUGGAGGAAC
rnacentral:rRNA from 1 species